GGCGAAACCGCGAAUGGCUCAUUAAAUCAGUUAUGGUUCCUUGGAUCGUACCUUACUACUUGGAUAACUGUGGCAAUUCUAGAGCUAAUACAUGCAGCAGAGCUCCGACCUUCGGGGACGAGCGCUUUUAUUAGACCAAAACCAAUCGGGCCUCGUGUCCGUCUUGUGUGGUGACUCUGUAUAACUUUGGGCUGAUCGCAUGGGCUUGUCCCGGCGACGUAUCUUUCAAGUGUCUGCCUUAUCAACUGUCGAUGGUAGGUUACGCGCCUACCAUGGUCGUAACGGGUGACGGGGAAUCAGGGUUCGGUUCCGGAGAGGGAGCCUGAGAAACGGCUACCACAUCCAAGGAAGGCAGCAGGCGCGCAAAUUACCCAAUCCCGGAACGGGGAGGUAGUGACGAAAAAUAACAAUACGGGACUCUUUUGAGACCCCGUAAUUGGAAUGAGUACACUCUAAACCAUUUCACGAGUACCAAUAGGAGGACAAGUCUGGUGCCAGCACCCGCGGUAACUCCAGCUCCUAUAGCGUAUAUUAAAGUUGUUGCGGUUAAAAAGCUCGUAGUUGGAUCUCAGUUCCAGACGGGCGGUCCGCCUACCGGCGGCUACUGCCUGAUCUGAACAGCAGAGUCGGUUUCCUUUGAUGAUCUUCAUCGGUUGUCAUCGGUGACCGGCAAGUUUACUUUGAAAAAAUUAGAGUGCUCAAAGCAGGCGUGACGCCUGGAUAAUGGUGCAUGGAAUAAUGGAAUAGGACCUCGUUUCUAUUUUGUUGGUUUUCGGAACACGAGGUAAUGAUUAAGAGGGACAGACGGGGGCAUUCGUACUUAAAGGAAUUGACGGAGGGGCACCACCAGAGAUGGAGCCUGCGGCUCAAUUUGACUCAACACGGGGAAACUUACCCGGCCCGGACGCAGGAAGGAUUGACAGAUUAAGAGCUCUUUCUUGAUUCUGCGGGUAGUGGUGCAUGGCCGUUCCUAGUUGGUGGAGCGAUUUGUCUGGUCAAUUCCGAUAACGAACGAGAUCCUAGCCUGCUAAAUAGACGUUCCGAUCCUUCCAGUCGGACGUUCUUCUUAGAGGGACAAGUGGCGUUCAGCCGCACGAGACAGAGCAAUAACAGGUCUGUAAUGCCCUUAGAUGUCCGGGGCCGCACGCGCGCUACAUUGAAGGAAUCAGCGUGUGCUUUCCCGGUCCGACAGGACUGGGUAACCCGUUGAACCUCCUUCGUGCUGGGGAUAGGGGCUUGUAACUGUUCCCCUUGAACGAGGAAUCUCCAGUAAGCGCGAGUCAUAAGCUCGUGUUGAUUAAGUCCCUGCCUCUUGUACACACCGCCCGUCGCUACCCCCGAUCGAAUGAUUUAGUGAGGUCUUCGGACUGGCGCUCGGAUUGGCCUUUAUCGGGUCGAGCCGGCGUGCCGGAAAGAUAACCGAACUUGAUCAUUUAGAGGAGGUAAAAGUCGUAACAAGGUUUCC
rnacentral:rRNA from 1 species